rnacentral:rRNA from 1 species
UACGUAGGGGGCAAGCGUUGUCCGGAAUUAUUGGGCGUAAAGAGCGCGUAGGCGGUCCGGUAAGUCGGUUGUGAAAGUCGGGGGCUCAACCCUCGGAUGCCGAUCGAUACUGUCGGGCUAGAGUCCGGAAGAGGCGAGUGGAAUUCCUGGUGUAGCGGUGAAAUGCGCAGAUAUCGGGAAGAACACCUAUGGCGAAGGCAGCUCGCUGGGACGGUACUGACGCUGAGACGCGAAAGCGUGGGGAGCAAACAGG